CAGCUGCAGUUUCUCUCUGUGUUUCCUCUACAGGUGAAAGUAGAACCACUCUGUGACCACAUGUGGAUCUGAAUUCACCUGGUGUUUCUCUGCUAUGGAUCAGAGUGAGGACAGAGAGGAGGGAGUCCCUCCCUCUAAAAGCUCUCUGUGUGGGGAACAUGACAGCCAGACCAAAGCUCAGAGGACAGAGAAGCAGCACAGACCAGACUCUGAUGAACUCAGCCGGCCGUCUGUCAAGAAUCUGCGGUUGAUGUUU